ACCGCCAGCUAAGGUCCCAAAGUCAUGGUUAAGUGGGAAACGAUGUGGGAAGGCCCAGACAGCCAGGAUGUUGGCUUAGAAGCAGCCAUCAUUUAAAGAAAGCGUAAUAGCUCACUGGUCGAGUCGGCCUGCGCGGAAGAUGUAACGGGGCUAAACCAUGCACCGAAGCUGCGGCAGCGACGCUGAUGCGUUGUUGGGUAGGGGAGCGUUCUGUAAGCCUGUGAAGGUGGCCUGUGAGGGUUGCUGGAGGUAUCAGAAGUGCGAAUGCUGACAUAAGUAACGAUAAAGCGGGUGAAAAGCCCGCUCGCCGGAAGACCAAGGGUUCCUGUCCAACGUUAAUCGGGGCAGGGUGAGUCGACCCCUAAGGCGAGGCCGAAAGGCGUAGUCGAUGGGAAACGGGUUAAUAUUCCCGUACUUGGUGUUACUGCGAAGGGGGGACGGAGAAGGCUAUGUUGGCCGGGCGACGGUUGUCCCGGUUUAAGCGUGUAGGUGUGUGUUCCAGGUAAAUCCGGUUCACUUUAACACUGAGGCGUGAUGACGAGGCACUACGGUGCUGAAGCAACAAAUGCCCUGCUUCCAGGAAAAGCCUCUAAGCAUCAGGUAACAUCAAAUCGUACCCCAAACCGACACAGGUGGUCAGGUAGAGAAUACCAAGGCGCUUGAGAGAACUCGGGUGAAGGAACUAGGCAAAAUGGUGCCGUAACU
rnacentral:rRNA from 1 species